GCUCACGUAGCUCAGUAGGCAGAGCGUCGCCUUAAUAAGGCGGAGGGCGUCGGUUCAAUCCCGAUCGAGAGCUCCA
rnacentral:tRNA from 1 species